GACGAACCGAGCGAACGUUGUUCAGAAUCACUGGGCUUAAAGGGCGCGUAGGCGGGUGCUCAAGUCUGUGGUGAAAUCCUCCGGCUCAACCGGAGAACGGCCAUGGAUACUGGGUGUCUCGAGGGUGAUAGGGGUAUGCGGAACUAUCGGUGGAGCGGUGAAAUGCGUUGAUAUCGAUAGGAACUCCGGUGGCGAAGGCGGCAUACUGGAUCACUUCUGACGCUGAGGCGCGAAAGCCAGGGGAGCGAACGGG
rnacentral:rRNA from 1 species